UAGUACAAGAGUGCACACGCUGAAAUGUCUCGCCUUCUAUACUAAUCAUUGAUAUUAUGUUGAUAGUCCUAGGUAUAAAGCUAAGCUUUAUUACAACUGUCACAUAAACUUAACAUUAACCAAGAUAACUAAACAAAGACCAAUGAACCUUGAAAAUGAGGUCAAGGUCAGAUGAAACAUGCCAGGCAGACAUGUACAGCUAACAAUGCUUCUAUACAACAUAUAUAGUUGACCCAUUACUUAUAGUUUAAGAAAAAUAGACCAAAACACAAAAACUUAACACUGUGCAAUGAACCGUGAAAAUGAGGUCAGGGUCAAAUAAAACCUGUGUGACUGACAUAAAGAUCAUAAUAUAUUUCCAUACACCAAAUAUAGUUGACCUAUGACAUAAAGUAUUAGAUAAAAAGCCCAAAACUCAAAAACUUAACUUUGACCACUGAACCAUGAAAAUGAGGUCAGGGUCACAUGACAUCUGCCAGCUAGAUAUGUACACCUUACAAUCAUUCCAUACAACAAAUAUAGUAGACCUAUUGCAUAUAGUAUGAGAAAAACAGACCAAAACACAAAAAUUUAACUAUAACCACUGAACCAUGAAAAUGAGGUCAAGGUCAGAUGACACCUGCCAGUUGGACAUGUACACCUUACAGUCCUUCCAUACACCAAAUAUACUAGCCCUAUUGCUUAUAGUAUCUGAGAUACGGACUUGACCACCAAAACUUAACCUUGUUCACUGAUCCAUGAAAUGAGGUCGAGGUCAAGUGAAAACUGUCUGACAGACACGAGGACCUUGCAAAGUACGCACAUAUCAAAUAUAGUUAUCCUAUUACUUAUAAUAAGAGAGAAUUUAACAUUACAAAAAAUUUGAACUUUUUUUUCAAGUGGUCACUGAACCAUGAAAAUGAGGUCAAGGACAUUGGACAUGUGACUGACGGAAACUUCGUAACAUGAAGCAUCUAUAUACAAAGUAUGAAGUAUCCAGGUCUUCUACCUUCUAAAAUAUAAAGCUUUUAAGAAGU
rnacentral:lncRNA from 1 species